UUAUUUUAAAAUUCAAAAUUCAAACUUCAAUAGUCAAUCCAAAAUUUUAUCCCAAAAUUAAUAUCAAAUCUAAAAUAUCAAAUAUAAACAUCACUUUCCUUUGGUCAAAAAAAGAAAAAAUCACUUUCCCUUUACCUUCAAAAAAGAAAAACACAUUUCAACCAAAAUUCUCACUCUGUUCUAAUAAUCUCCACAAAGAAAAUUCCAACUUCCCCCUCUCUGUUCAUCUUUCUUGUUUCUGCAGAUUCCAUUCCAAUCCACAACAACAUCACAAGUAACAGUUCUGAAAAAUCAAGAAUGUCCAACAACAACACAUGUGGUUUGUUGUCUUGUGACAAACUUGACAGAGU
rnacentral:lncRNA from 1 species